rnacentral:rRNA from 1 species
AUUGAACGCUGGCGGCAGGCCUAACACAUGCAAGUCGAGCGAGCGGCGGACGGGUGAGUAAUGUCUGGGAAACUGCCUGAUGGAGGGGGAUAUCUCCUGGAAACGGUAGCUAAUAUCGCAUAUCAUCAGAUGUGCCCAGAGGGGAUUAGCUAGUGGGUGGGGUAACGGCUCACCUAGGCGACGCUCCCUAGCUGGUCUGAGAGGAUGACAAGCCACACGGGAACUGAGACACGGUCAAGACUCCUACGGGAGGCAGCAGUGGGGAAUAUUGCACAAUGGGCGCAAGCCUGAUACAGCCAUGCCGCGUGUGUGAAGAAGGCCUUCGGGUUGUAAAGAACUUUCAGCGGGGAGGCGUUACCCGCAGAAGAAGCACCGGCUAACUCCGUGCCAGCAGACGCGGUAAUAC